UACAGAGGUCCCAAGCGUUGUUCGGAUUCACUGGGCGUAAAGGGUGCGUAGGCGGUCGGGUAAGUCUGAUGUGAAAUCUCACAGCUUAACUGUGAAACUGCAUUGGAUACUAUUCGGCUUGAGAGUUGGAGGGGGGACUGGAAUUCUUGGUGUAGCAGUGAAAUGCGUAGAUAUCAAGAGGAACACCAGUGGCGAAGGCGAGUCCCUGGACAACUUCUGACGCUGAAGCACGAAAGCGUGGGGAGCAAACAGG
rnacentral:rRNA from 1 species